AUCCAACUGACGAAUCCCGAGUAGGAUGAUACGUGCGUCUAGGAU
rnacentral:hammerhead_ribozyme from 1 species